rnacentral:rRNA from 1 species
UGGGGAAUUUUUCGCAAUGGGCGCAAGCCUGACGAAGCAACGCCGCGUGGAGGAUGAAGGUCUUCGGAUUGUAAACUCCUGUCGACCGGGACGAAUGCACCCGACCUAAUACGUCGAAGUGUUGACGGUACCGGUGGAGGAAGCCACGGCUAACUCUGUGCCAGCAGCCGCGGUAAUACAGAGGUGGCAAGCGUUGUUCGGAAUUACUGGGCGUAAAGGGCGCGUAGGCGGCCCCAUAAGUCUCGUGUGAAAGCCCUCGGCUUAACUGAGGAUCUGCACGGGAUACUGUAGGGCUCGAGUUCGGGAGAGGAAAGCGGAAUUCCGGGUGUAGCGGUGAAAUGCGUAGAUAUCCGGAGGAACACCAGUGGCGAAGGCGGCUUUCUGGACCGACACUGACGCUGAGGCGCGAAAGCUAGGGGAGCAAACGGGAUUAGAUACCCCCGUAGUCCCUGAGCGGGCUGGCAAGGCGCAU